AACGAACGCUGGCGGCAGGCUUAACACAUGCAAGUCGAGCGCAUCCUUCGGGGUGAGCGGCAGACGGGUGAGUAACGCGUGGGAACGUACCCUUUCCUACGGAAUAGCUCCGGGAAACUGGAAUUAAUACCGUAUACGCCCUUAGGGGGAAAGAUUUAUCGGGGAAGGAUCGGCCCGCGUUGGAUUAGCUAGUUGGUGGGGUAAAGGCCUACCAAGGCGACGAUCCAUAGCUGGUCUGAGAGGAUGAUCAGCCACAUUGGGACUGAGACACGGCCCAAACUCCUACGGGAGGCAGCAGUGGGGAAUAUUGGACAAUGGGCGCAAGCCUGAUCCAGCCAUGCCGCGUGAGUGAUGAAGGCCUUAGGGUUGUAAAGCUCUUUCAGUAGGGAAGAUAAUGACGGUACCUACAGAAGAAGCCCCGGCUAACUUCGUGCCAGCCGCCGCGGUAA
rnacentral:rRNA from 1 species